rnacentral:rRNA from 1 species
AGUGAAGCGGCAACAGCUCAAAUUUGAAAUCUGGCUCUUUUAGAGUCCGAGUUGUAAUUUGCAGAGGGCGCUUUGGCUUUGGCAGCGGUCCAAGUUCCUUGGAACAGGACGUCACAGAGGGUGAGAAUCCCGUACGUGGUCGCUAGCUAUUGCCGUGUAAAGCCCCUUCGACGAGUCGAGUUGUUUGGGAAUGCAGCUCUAAAUGGGAGGUAAAUUUCUUCUAAAGCUAAAUACUGGCCAGAGACCGAUAGCGCACAAGUAGAGUGAUCGAAAGAUGAAAAGCACUUUGGAAAGAGAGUCAAACAGCACGUGAAAUUGUUGAAAGGGAAGCGCUUGCAGCCAGACUUGCUUGCAGUUGCUCAUCCGGGCUCUUUUGCCCGGUGCAUUCUUCUGCAGGCAGGCCAGCAUCAGUUUGGGCGGUGGGAUAAAGGUCUCUGUCACGUACCUCUCUUCGGGGAGGCCUUAUAGGGGAGACGACAUACCACCAGCCUGGACUGAGGUCCGCGCAUUUAUGCUAGGAUGCUGGCGUAAUGGCUGUAAGCGGCCCGUCUUGAAACACGGACCAAGGAGUCUAACAUCUAUGCGAGUGUUUGGGUGUCAAGCCCGAACGCGUAAUGAAAGUGAACGGAGGUGGGAACCCGCAAGGGUGCACCAUCGACCGAUCCUGAUGUCUUCGGAAGGAUUUGAGUAAGAGCAUGGCUGUUGGGACCCGAAAGAUGGUGAACUAUGCUUGAAUAGGGUGAAGCCAGAGGAAACUCUGGUGGAGGCUCGCAGCGGUUCUGACGUGCAAAUCGAUCGUCAAAUUUGGGCAUAGGGGCGAAAGACUAAUCGA